GACGGGGACCCGCACAAGCGGUGAAGCAUGUGGUUUAAUUCGAAGCAACGCGAAGAACCUUACCAGGCCUUGAGAUCCGGAUGAAUAGCAGGUAAUGCUGCUAGCUCUUCGGAGCAACCGAGACAGGUGGUGCAUGGUUGUCGUCAGCUCGUGUCGUGAGAUGUUGGGUCAAGUCCCGCAACGAGCGCAACCCUUGCCAUCAGUAGCCAGCACGUAGAGGUGGGCACUCUGAUGGGACUGCCGGGGACAACCCGGAGGAAGGUGGGGAUGACGUCAAAUCAUCAUGCCCCUUAUGGCCUGGGCUACACACGUGCUACAAUGGCGCACACAAAGGGAAGCGAAGGCGUGAGCCGGAGCGAAUCCCAAAAAAGGCGCCUCAGUUCGGACUGUAGUCUGCAACCCGACUACACGAAGCUGGAAUCGCUAGUAAUCGCAGAUCAGAAUGCUGCGGUGAAUACGUUCCCGGGUCUUGUACACACCGCCCGUCACACCAUGGGAGUCAGAAAUGCCCGAAGCCGGUGUGCUAACCCCUCAUGAAUAUGAGCCGCAUUGGUUGCGAAACGAAGUUUCGCAACACUGAAAAAGAAUACGUCCCGA
rnacentral:rRNA from 1 species